GAGUGUCCCUCAAUGACGACUUGAAAAACAGGCCGGUAAAUAAAUGGAGUGGCAGUAAACAAGGCUCGGCGCUUCAUCAAAAGACUCUAUUCAUCUGUGAACAGGAGAGUCUCUCUUUUCUCUGAGGAGACAGUGAAAGGAACCCACUGACGCUGACGAGAGGACGGCGCUUGUUUAGAUAACAGGAUGAGUUUAGAGUGGAAUGGUUUCGGAGGGGGGUGCAGAGCAGGUGGGAGGUGGACACACAGUCUUAACGAGUGGGGUAAGGUGGGGGUAGAGAUAGUGUGUUUUUGUUUGUUCUUUAUCGCCAGCGUGGAUUCAGGGAAAGGAUUGUGUUUUCGGGGUUAGAAUUUCGGGAUAGGCCGAUGACGGUAUGUGGUUUUGUGUCUAGCACAAAGCGGAGUAGGGGGUAGUCGGCUUUUGGCAAGGCUUCAUGUGCCUGUAUGCACAGGCGUGCAUGUGUGUGAGAGUGCAUGUUUGCAUAUGUCUCAGUUUGCUCAUUAUACAUGGUUAUUUUUUUCCAGACAGUGGUGUGCUCUAUUUUGCAUGAUUUACAGCCGUAUGAGCCAAGCAGCAGGUUUUUUUUUUAUGCAACCAAUAGUUGGGAAAGCGCAGAGUCUUGGGGUCCCAGGGACUCUGCGGUGAACUGGUCACAGUAAAGUGGUGUGCACUGCUUCAGCUGUUCGUAAUUCAGCCUGUCAGGCGAGGGAGCCAAGUGUAAACUAAGUGCGAAAAAGUCCUUUCUGCGCAUUUCCAACAUUAAAAACUUUUUCAUUACGGGGAGAGGAUUUUAUGAAUGUAGAGAUCAGGGUGAAGUCACCUCCAACCACUUAGUGAAUUAUGAUUGACAGAGAAGCCAAGUGCCACCUUUCAAAUGCUUUAAUUUAGCUUGGAUAAUAUAACUGUGAAUGUUAACAAUUCUCAUUCCAUUUUAACUCGCCUCUAAUUGUUUGAGAGCACAUGGCGUUAAUAGACGCGUCUCGUAUCUUGCGCUGCAAGGACACGAGAUGCACAUCUGUCACUUUAACUCUAAUCUGACAGAAAAACUUUAUACUUUACCGUUUCAACUUCAGAGUAGGUGAAGACAUAUAAUACUUUGAUCUGUUCUUCCAUAUUGCCAAGAAUCUCUUUGAAAAAACCCUUUGUCUAGAUUAUCAGCAGCAUUCAGCACAUACACUCUUAAUGCCUUUUUUUUUUAGAGCUCAACAACCAUUUUAUUUUAAUGUCCUGCCAUUUAUUUGACUCCCUUAGAUCCACAUGAUUGAUUUUAAGAUUACCAUAGCACUCAGGAACCCCCUUGUCCUUCUCGCAAUCCUCUGUCUUGCCACCCCAAAGUCCCCCUCCCCAGCCCACCGCCUGUUCGCCUCACGUUUAUUGGACCCACAUUUGGCUGGCACCAUGGCAACCAAGGCUCCCAGGGAACCUUGCCUGGGUAGAAUCCAAGGUGGCUCCAGGGUGGCACUGGCUGGCGUUGUCAGCCUCAACGGUCUGCCGCCACUGCAGGCUGCCACGACGAGGCCAGCCUGGCUCUGGCGUGCCACUGCAGGGAUGGGAGCACUAGCUCACUAACCUCCGUUAACUAACUACCAGCUCACAUCAUCCGCCAUAUCCAGUGACAUUAGCCACCACUUCCACUGCUGCAGGCCUCUGCGACUGCAGCACGGGGGAAGCGUUUCACCAGUACGCAUAUUGAUGUGGCAUGGCUUGGUGCCCAGUGCUGCCUCCUACAUGAGAGAGAGACGGGAGAAUGAGACGGAGAAAGACAGCAUAGAGAUGCAUUUUCAGUGUAUAAUGUAUGAGCAUAUAGGUUUUUUUUAACAAUGCCUUUCUGCUCUAGUGUGUGAAUAUUCAGCUGCACAUAUUUGGCUCUGUAUGCCAUGCCGCAACGUGUAUGAUAUUUAAAUGCGUGAUUAUGAUGUGCACAGCACUGUGCAUCUGUUGAGGCAAUAUGUUUUUUUGACUGAUACUGAACGCCAUCAGUGAGCCAACACUGAACGAGAGGUGGCAUUCACUUACGAUGCUUUAUUUUUUAACUGCAUUUUCUUACAGAUUCCUUUUUGUUCCUCCGCAUGGUGUAUUUGUGAGUGCACGACUAACUGUAUGAUAGUGAAUGUAUGGUCGUAAACCCCCCCCCCCACACACACACACAAAGCUGCGCCAGCUUGUACAGUAGGUAACCAUGAAGCAGUCGUCCUUGUCUCGGCUGUCUCCAGUCGUGACUUUAGGAGAGUGGAGCUGCAGGGUUCUGCUGACUUAGAGCAUCUUCAUACUAUGAUUCCUCACUUUACCCUGCCCUGCCCUGGAAAUUGACAAUUUGCCAACAAAAAUAUCAACACUAAAGAGAAAGCUGUACCUCGUGUCUUUCGGCAGAGUGGAGUUCUUUUUAUAUUCUUUAGCACACACAGCCUAAGGUUCCAGCUCUUUUGCUGAAUGUUGGGGUUGUGGUCAUAGUUAAAGAACAGGCUGCCAUGGUUGAGCAAGUGAAAACUAAAUAGAGCAAGUUAUCUAUCAGAUGCUAAAAGUGGUGCUUGACAUCGUGAAUUGAAAUUCUAAAAAUGCAGUUUUUCCAUAUUAUCAGCACCAAAAUUCAGUUUUGGCAGCACUCCGUCUCCAUUCGACAGAGACCGACUUUGUAGUGUAGCCUGACUGAAAGUCUGCUGCUCCCUGUUCAGUGCAUUCCAGAUCGUAACUGCACAGUGGGUGGGUAGGGCAGCACAUUUACUCUGCAGGGAAGGAAUGGAUAUCUCAUCACCCUGCUUUCUUAAACUAUGAGUCAGUGUCUGUAAUUGGUCACGGGCCAAUCACUGCUACAGUAGGUUUCCACUUGAUUAAAGUAGCCGUACGCAAUAUGCCUGAGCUUGGCUUUAGAUUAAUGAGGAAGUGUGCAAAAGGGAUUUAUGGACAGUUUAAUCAGAACUUGGUGUUCUGAAUGUCUCCCUGAUUGUUCAGUCCCAUUUUUAACCACUCCUUUACCUCUCUCUCCCCCCCCCCCCCCCCCGUGAGGACAAAGUCAGUGUUUCUUCCUCACUCCUGUAAGUGAGUUCAGCCUGUGGCAGGGAAACGGUGGAUUCGUCAUGCGAGGUGUGUAAGGAGAUAUGGUGUAUGAUCCUUGACGGUGCUGGCGGCAGUGUGCAAGAUCAGCGCUGCCAGCUAGUGUAAAGAGGCCAGAGGUAGAAAGUUGAACAGAUGGAGAAAAGUUUCAAACUACAUUGUUUGAGACUCUGUGAGAAAGAGAUGGAGUUUUUUUAAGCUGCUCCUUCCUUGUUUGUUUCUCUUUUUUUUUUUCUCCAGCCCCUCUCACUGUUCCUCCUGACCUGAAAUUAGGGGUUAGUUUGAGGAUAGUGACGGACUAAUGAGCCCCCUUUCCUGCAAUUACCCUCCUCUCCUAUUCUCUCUGUCUCUCUGUUUCCAUCUGCCUCUCAAAUUCUGUUGUCUGUUCAUCUUAUUCAUUUUUCUCUUUCAGCCUAAACAAUCUGUUUCUCUCUCUCCUUCUGUCUUUUGUUUUCUUCCCCCCUUGCUGUCACCUUCUCAGAGAGUAGAGGUAAAUCAAGGUGGCACUUAUAUCUUUAAAAGCAACGUGAUGGUCAAUUAAAGGAAUCUGGUCCUGAUUUCUGGUAGAUUGCUAUCGGAGAUUUUGGAUGGAAGCAGCUUUUUACUAAAGAAAACAUGUGGGGUUGUGCUCCUUUUCUCUUUGUUCCCUCCUUUGUUUUCAUUUGAUUGCUGCAUUUAUUUUGUCUUUCUCUUUAUUCUUGAGUUUAAAGUGUACACGAAAAGUGUAUUUUACUUCAUAAUGUACAUGUCUGAGUCUUGGUUAUCGGCUUAUUGGCCGUGGCUCCUGGUGUACAGGCUUAUUAUUUCUUUCCACUCACUCACUCUGUGGUCUAAACUUGUUCUUGAACACAGGAGGACUUUUGUGUAUGUGUAUUGGUGUAUUUGACUGGAGGUGUGCAUGAGAAAGAACAUAAUUUCUUUUCCUUUCAUGGUGUCUGGCUGCUGUUUGAGUUUAGUUUGGUUGGUAGCCGGCUGUGUCUUCCUCCCCACUGUGUGCUGGACAUGGAAUGGUGCAGAAUUGUCAAAGGUUUGGUUGCCCCUGCUGCAUUUUAUGUCUUUGGCAUGACGCAUCCGUAUGAACCGAACACCCUCACCCCUCCACCCCUCACUGAGGAUAUACAGUAGAUCUCCUCCAAGUUCAAUGCUUGUAAGGCGUCCUGCACACUAUUUUAACAAAGUGAGAUUAUGACAUUUAAACUUGUUUUCAGCUGUAUCUGUUGUGUCAGGUUGAAGCUCUUGCAUUUCCCGGUCUGUUUAAGUUGCCUUGAACAAGACACUGAAUCCCCACCAACUCCAGAGGUGCAACUCGGCCAUCCGUGACCUCUGACCCCCCUGAGCAUGUUAACUACAGUAAGGAAUUUUUAUUGGGCAUCAAUGAGGUAUCACAUUAUUAGUAACUCCUAUGGUAAAUGCCUUGCAAAGGUGCUAAUGGGAUGCUACCUCCUAGUCUAGCGCCAACUGCUUCACAUCCUUUCUCCUUGUCUUGUGCCAAGUAAAAGUCACUCUGGAUGCUAAAUCCCCGCCUAUUGCACAGUGCUAACAAAUCCCAAUCUAGGCUGAUCCUUAUUAAUACAGUGGGUCAUGAUCAGCCUAAAACUAAACUAGCAUACAGCUGCCCUCCACGUGGCCUGGUGUUACCGCAGGGUCAGUCCAGUGACAGCCUGGGAGAGAGGAAGAUGAGGAAGAAGAUGAAUGAGUUCUGACUGUAUGUGAAGCAUGUGUGGCUGUUGUUGAUUAAAAGUUGUUGUUGUAAUUGCGGGGCUUAAAAUGCCAGGUGGCGGAUGUGUCCUGCUAAUCCCCUAUCUAAUUUCGAGGUCCAGGGGUGAAGCUCUUAAUCCGAAACGCGGUACACGCACACGCACGCACGCACGCACUCUCGCUCGCUCGUAGUCUUGCAAACACACACACACACACGCUCGCUCGUAGUCUUGCAAACACACAUACACAUAUGCACUUACACAGAUCCUCCCACUAACAGACAUAUGUCCAUACACAUCUUCUCAGUCCUAUCUGUUAAUCGUAUGCUCACAAAGUUUUCAAACUUUAUAUUUUAUCUUUAUUCAAACAUAUUGCUGAUAUAUGAUACAGUAAUGAACAUGCAUACAAAGUAUGGCAACACAAAAGCUCCCAAGUUUUACCUUAACCCCGUACGCGUUUGUUUUUCCUGAUGGACUAAGCAUGUGUGCAACCUUAUGGCUGGGUUCAUGUAGGAAUAUAUUUAAUUGAUGAUGCACACUGUCCUCAUGACAACUGUACACACUUGUGCACACACACACACACACACACACACACACACACACACACACACACACACACACACACACACACACAAACAAACACACUAACAUGUCCCACAUCUUUUUACUCAGGUAAAUGUCAUUAUUUCUCUCCUUUGUCUUUGUCUUUCUCUCUCCUGUUUGUGUGUGUAUUUUUAUGACUACAGGAGUUGCUGCCACACACUUAGGCCAUGUACAGGUUGAGAUAGACGAAAGUGUCACAGUGACUGGGAGAUAAGAAGUUUGACUGGCUGCUCCACCCUUUACCUCAGUUCCCCCCUGCUCGCUCAGCUCUACUGUAUGUGGGUCAAGCACACAGUGCGCACACACUGCACACAGUAGAUAGCUACAGUAUAAUAUGGGGAGGCCUCAUUUAGGAGGGGGACAUUUUUCUUUUGACUUCACAUUAGCUUUAAUUUUUGACUCAGGCUAUUGUCAGGCCGUCUUUUAGUCCUUUAUUGGCUGAGGUUAAGUAAAUUCACAGCUUUAAAAAUUAUUUGAUCAUUCUUUUCACUGUGCUGUGACAGGUUUGUUUGGCCUGAAACCUGUUGAUAGCUUUCUUGUUCUUACUUAAUCAGCACAAUUUAAUUCAAACUCCACCAGCUCCUCUCCACUGGUUUCUCGCUUCUCUGUUUACUUAAUUUUUCUCUCAGCCUUCUGCUUCUUAGUGGCAGGUGUGGCGGCCAUGUGCUUCAAGUAUGUGUUGGAGUUUACGGCCUAAGCUGAGAGGGGUAGGAAAGAGGGAGGCAAGCGGGGAGGGAGGAAGGGAGGAGGAACCGCCCUGCCCUGGGCGUAGGGUCAUCUCAGGUGAAAUGUCUCUCAGGGCAUGUGGGGUAGGCCUCUAAGGGGAGGGGGGAGGAGUCAGAGGAGGAGUCUGCUGACUUAUAACAAAAUAUAGAAAGUUUGUUGUCGGAGGAGAAAUCAGGAAACAACCAAUAUUCUCAGAACAAAGUCUCAUGAAAUGCACAGAUUAAAUACUUGGAAAGUGGGAGACCUGCUCCGUCUGGCCUCUGGCUGUACUGUGUGCGGGAGGAACUCCUAAUAAAGGAAAAAUAUGCAUCUGAGUGAUACAUUGAGUGACCGGGACAGCGUGAAAUGUUGUGAAUUCUCAGUCACAGCAGCGAGUUGUGUGUCCAAACUCGAAGAACUGAGAAAGGUGCCUCAUCAGGGGACUUCUGUCAGAAAAAAGGGGGGAACAUUGUUGAGGAGAAACUUUCAGAGAGAAGGAAGGAGAGAAAAUAAACUCUGAGAGGAGGAGGGGGGAGGGGGGUGACAGAUGACUUCCCAAGUUCAGAUAUGAAAAGAGGGCGGAGUAAAAACUAGAGAUGAAGGGAGGGGAAGAGAGAAACAGAGAGGAGUGGGGAGGUGGCAAGAGACAAAGAAACAGUCUGCAGAGAAAGAGAGGGAGAGAGAGAGGAUAGAGAGAGAGAGAGAGAGAGAGAGAGAGAGAGAGAGAGAGAGAGAGAGCUUCUCUGCAGGGCGGGUUUCCUGAGGUCACAGUACUGAAUAUCACAGAGGAAUGUGGAAUGCUGAAUUGCUGCCAAGGCAAACACACCGGCCCCACUGCCGCCGCCCCCAAUGGCUGUCAAGGGCUGCUUUAUAUACACAUACACACAGACACACAAGCAUGCAGUCAUAUAUGUGCUUGAGCAUAUACUGUACACAGUGCAGUCACACAGAAUGCCCAGCGCACACCGAGAUGACAUACACUGCACAGCCCACUGAUACAGCCACUUGUGGAAACAUCCACGCUGUCAGCACCUGCAGAAGAUGUUAUUUUCUGUAACUGCAGCUGACGGCGCAGACCUACAGUGAUCAGAGGCCGAGUGUAGGUACAGUUCUCUGAUUACUCGACUGGGAUACACUCCUUCUCAAAUGAGUGUUAUUCAGAAAUGUUUUCAUUAAUUGUGUGUGUGUGUGUGUGUGUGUGUGUGUGUGUGUGUGUGUGUGUGUGUGUGUGUGUGUGUGUGUGUGUGUGUGUGUGUGUGUGUGUGUGUGUGUGUGUGUGUGUGUGUGUGUGUGUGUGUGUGUGUGUGUGUGUGUGUGUGUGUGUGUGUGUGUGUAAGGAAUAUUAUAAUUGACUGUGACAGCAUAGCUGAAAUGCAGGGAGCUGUACGUUUUUACAGCUGUGACACACACACACAGAGUUGAAUGACUCAUUUACUGCAGGUUGGACAAACAUGUUAAAACAUACUCACACAAACUGAUCCUGUGACUCAUACGCCAUGCAAACACAUGCUUAUCCAGCAUUUGAUGUUUUGUCAAGGACUUAGGUUAUAUCCGCCGUCGGCUAAAAAUAAAUGCAGCAAAGAUGUAGAGAUCACCUUUGAAGAAUUCAAAUGAUGAAAAGGGAGACAGAUAAAGUGCUCAUCCGAGGGCCAAGAAACUCUUCCAUUCGUCCUUGAUUUUCAUGCCAAAGUCAAAUGAGAAUCAUUCCAAACAUAUGCAAUCGAUUGAGUCGUGGAGACGCUGCCGUACAGACGUUCACACUCAGACAGGUUCAACAGGAGGGAGAAUGAAGACACGGAGAGAGGAGAUGGGGAUAUCCGUCUUCAUAUACGUGUCCUCAUGAUUUACUCGCAUGUUCCUGCUCGCAGGUCCCUAUAAAAGUUAACGAGACAAAUUGCAGCGACUCACAUCCAUGUUUGUUUUUCUAGCGGUUGUAAAUUUAGAGGCUGUAGUGUGUAAUCCACCGUUUUCCCUACAUGUGCUUGUGUGGAUAUUUUUCACUGUCUUUUUCUCCUCCUCCUCCUCCGCCUCCCUCCCUCCGUCUCGGAGCAUGCCAGGGUGAGAGGUCAGAACAACCGAGUCUCUUCGUCAUCCUUUGAUGUGGUUCACCACACGUGUGCGCGCGCACACACACACACACACACACACACACACACACACACACACACACACACACACACACACACUCACAUGGGCCCACGUGCUGACGCAGGGACCAAGGUCAAGUCAAGACAAACAGCGCUCACACUUUGGGCCUUGUGCCUCCGUUUGCUCUCUCUCUCAAGGCGCUGACAGCCCAGGAGAAAAAACAAGGCUCAGGUUCUGCGGUGCUGUUCUCUGUUCUUUGAUGUGCUCUCAUGUCUGCCACAUGCACAUGAGCAGGUUUUGCUCCUAAGGCACAGGAAGAGGUACUCGACCAGUAAGAUCAGAUCAUGUUCCUGAAGUUUUCAGUUGAUUAUCUGGAGCGGUUGGAAGCGAAGGUGCAUUUAAAACUGGGCAGAAUAUUGCAGCAAAAAGGGGAACCUCUCACCAGAGGUCUGCAGCCAGACUACUGUAAAAAUGGUAUCACACGUUCCUCAUUAAAAAACGGAAAAGUGGUGAAGAUCUAAUUUUGAACUUGGCAAUAUUUCUUUUCCUUCGGGGACUCUUCCCAACCUGAAUUUAUCUUUUGCGUCAUGUUCUAAAAGUAGGCAGGUUCUGUGUGCUGUUGUUCGCACCACAGGAGUUAAAAUGAGCUCAUUUAAUUUGCACAAGUGUUUGUAUGCACACAUGUAUUUGUUUAUGUGGUUGCUCGCACAUGUACAGCCAGCGGGCAUGUGUGUGUUUUUCAUUCUGUCCACACCCUGUCAUCUCCCUCCUUCUCUCCCUCUAUCCCUCUGUUCUUCUCUUCCCUCGUUCGGAGCCGUGCAGUUGGGAGAGGCAGGCCCGGAGUCAAAAGUGCAAGUGUGCCGCUUGGCUGAUGAAUCACAGAGAGGCAGCUUUCCCCCCACUGUUUGUAAAUAUGUGGUUACCCUAAUUGAACACAGCUCCAGUUCCCAACAACUUUCAUUUGUCCUUUUUUUUGUGUUUGUGUGCGUGUGUAUGUAUAUGUGUGUAUGAGCAUGGCCACAGCUGGAGCAGCAGGAGACGCACUGAUAUACACUGAUGCAACAAAAAUCACACAUUACAAAGGUGCAGAGGUACACACACACACACACACACACACACACACACACACACACACACACACACACACACACACACACACACACACACACACACACACACACACACACACUGAGCGACUUUUACUUCUCUCCAUAAUUACAGGCUGAGAUCCCAGUCUAGAGGCUGUGGUUUGGCUGGCCCUCCUCUCCCUCCAUUAAGACACUAAGCAGCGUGUGUCACUCAGCACUUGGACGGCUCCUCCCCAGAGGUGGCAGCAGGGGGCCAAUAAAUGUGCACUCUCUCUCUCUUACAUACACAUAGACACGCUCUCUCUCACACACACACGUGGAGGUGUUAGUAAGGGGCCAGUAAAUGUUUUCCCUCAGGGCCGUGUCUGGGUGGCACUGGCAUCGCUGCUGCCAACAACCACAACUCAUCUAUGUCCAUUUCAUCUGAGCUCUGAUGCAUUUUAAACAUUUUAACUUGAAUUCAGAAAGCGCCAACUUCGUUAAAUUAAUGCGAUGUAGAUUUCACUAUGCAAACUCCAGUUUAACCAAAAUUAUCCCCCAUCCACCCCAAGACAUUGAUCCUAUAUCAUGCCAGUUCAAUCAAAAAUAGAAAUGAAUGUUGUUUCUUCUUAUAUCUUCUGGCUCAAAACUUAAAACAAACUUAUAAAAGGUCUGAAGCCUCGUAAAUGCUGAAUUAAUGGUACCAAGUGCAGUCAUGUCUGUUAUCACUGCAGACCCAGAAGUCCCCUUUGCUAAUUUCAUCUCAGAUUUUUCUUUCCUUAACAACUUGGCACUACUAAUUUACACAUUUAGAUCCUUAAAUAGUUGUAAUAUAACUAAUUGGAUUAUGUCCGCUUUAACAAGCCCAGAAGCACUUGCAGAAUUAUUUUUAUUUUUUAUUUUCGCCCAGUUCCCCCCCCCUCGUAUUCCUGUCUUGACUUUAGUUAAUGAUCCUUGAGCCUUCUGGUAAACAAGCAUGACACAUUUCUUCCACCCAGAUUUAACAAACACAUAUCUAGAUAGUGGUCUGUGCCUGCAAAUCCUAAAUAUUUUCUCUUACAUUACCUUGAUCUUUGCAGCUUGGCCUUUGAGGAGGCUGAGUGCUUAUGGAAAUCUAGUAUUCGUUCCUUUCCUUACUGUUACCCACAGAUACGUAUUUAUGAAUCUAAAUUCGAUACUUUGACAUUUUCCCAUCUCAACUCAGUUGAAUAGGCUGAAAAUAUUAGCCCCAAUCUUUAACAACUAAAGCAGCACCUUAAUGGUAUAUACCAAUCAAUACUGUACAUCCGUGAAGAUAAAAAACAACAUUAUAAAAAGCUCUCCGAACAGCAGUUUUCAGAACAAGUGCUUUAAUCAGGUUACAAGGGAUAAUAUGAAGGAAAGUUAUUCUCACAAACAUUACAAAGACUAACAUUUAUGGAUGUAACUGUAUGACGUUUUUCACCCGUCAUGACUUCAGUACAUUAACUUCACUUGGACUGUCACCUUCUCCUCCCUCUGUACACAUCAUUCAACUCAUUUAGUUCCUAAUGUGAAUUGGAUUUCAUUUACCUAUAAGUUGACUCCUGCCCCAGCCAAACAUUUAGGUUCAAGGCACAUUAAGCUCCAGCAUUGGUCUGAUCUCCCUUUGACCCUGCAUGCUCCGACUUACCAGUGUGUUUGUGGCAGAGCCACAUUAGCAUUAAACUCUCUGGCCUGGCCUGGUAAUGGCCGAUUAAUCGACUGGUGACAGUAUCAGAGCUCUGCGCUGUCCAUAAGCUGCUUAGCCUCUUGGGGCACAGCCACAACACCCUGUUUUGCACAUGUGUGGAUGUGUUUUUUGCAGAUUCCCCCAUCACAAAGUCCAAGAGAGAAAUAUUUUUAACUAGUACACAUCACUCAUUAUGUUCCUAACAUGAGCAUAUGUGCUUCAGUCUGCAAUAUGUUCAGCAUAAAAUUGGAAAAAAAGAAUUGGACAGAAGUGUUAGAAACUGAGGGAAUCCUAUGCAGCUGUUCAGAGACACACAUAGAAGCAUGCAUGCACAUACACACAUGGCACAGUGACAGUAAACACAGUUUAAAUCCACUCAGGGAUUACAAAUCCAUUUAUAGUGGGUCAACUUGACUGUGUCCGCUGUAGAUUCCACACUGAUCCUGCUGCCCCGCCACACCACUGCAUGUUACUGAAAAAAACUUUUUUAAUUUGAUGAAUUCCCAACUGGUUUCCUGCAAUGCAUGAGGUGUAUGCAAGUAAGACAAACACAUAAUGACCAUUAUGCAUUAUGACAUCCUGCCGUCCGUUGAGUCCCAGAAUUGUUUAAAAUGUUUCUAUUUAAUAUCCUGAGGGACUGGACAGACGUGGCAGUAAAAGACAGGGAGUCGAGAGCAGCAAGGAGCAGAGCUUUUGUGUCUGCCGGCUUUUGUUCAAGUGUGGAAGGGAAGGAUUGCAACGUUUGAAUGAGUAAUGACACAUAUGAUAUUCACUUUAAUCACAUCUGUUUAUGUGAUUUCAUCUCCCUUCAUUCCCAUUGGACCUCCCCAGGUUCUUGGAAUUGGCCGCUGCCUGGUCUGCCAAAAAUAAUCGCUUGUUUGCUGCUAUUUACUUAAAUCUGUCAAAGGCACUGUUGGAGCCCAUGCUGUUAUGGUUUUCUCUCUCUCUCUCUCUCUCUCUCUCUCUCUCUCUCUCUCUCUCUCUCUCUCUUUAUUUCUCUCUCCCUCUGUGUGUGUGUGUGUUACACAAGGACAUACCAAUGUGUGUAAUGUUCUAUACUGUUCUGGUGUGUGUGAGAGUCAGAUGUAUCCAGGCAUCGGUGGCCAGUGGACACACACACCCUCUACAGUAUCUCUCUCACGUCAACACACACACACACACACACAGAGAACCAAAGUCAGCCAGCUAGAGAGUAUGAGACGCCUCAAUAUCUGUGUGUGUGUGUGUAGAAACCUGGCAAAGGCACUGAGUUCAUCUCAACGUCUCUCUGUGUGAGACCUACACUCCCUGAAUAUAACACACAUGCAUACACACACAUGCAUAAACACAGUGCCUAGCAGAAGUGAAUAACUGUGUCUGUCGGGGGGAGGUGUAUGGUUUGGAUGUUUGCCUUCGUCAGAUGAGCGAUGUCAUUUUUCAUCCUCCUUUAUAAAAUGCCAGGGAGGGGGAAAGUGAUUGGUCAAAGGGCAUGCAAGGUGAAAGGAUGCCAGGCAGAUGUCAGCUCACACCGUCCCUCCCUUUUUCUUCAUCUUAGGUGCUUUCUUCUGUCUUUGUCUCUGUCCCUCUUCAUCAUCUCUCCGAACCUCUCUCUCCCCAUCUAUUCUCUUUCACAUUGGGGUCUGGAGGCACCACAGACUGCUCCCAGCUGGAACGGGGUCUGAAAGCAUCCAGGGAUAUAUCAGUUAUUAUUAAACCUGCUCUCCGAUUGCCAAAUACCUCAUCACUCAUGUGUACACACACAGACAUAUGCACACGUACACACACCACCUGGCAGAGUGAAGCUCUUCUCAGAGAAGAUAGACAUUAAAAACGAAGAAGAACAAAAUAUACCCUCCUGAUUAGAAGUCAAGGAGAUUGUCAUAAAUUUUCCCCCGUGUGAUGGCAAAAUGGUAAACACAUGUCGAAGCUGUCUUGCCAGAGUGCAUAAGCUUGCAGAGCGUCUUUUUGGAAGUCUUACAAUAAUGAUUCCACCACACCCAGCGGCCCGCGAUCCUUAUCCUUAUCCAAACUAGACAUUUACAAUCACUCACAAACUGAUAUAUUGCCAAUACCGACUACUUUGAUGAAGAAAUUACAAGAUCGAAUGUGACAUGGACUUUAUAUUCUAGUUUAGUAAAAAAAAUUGUAUCUAAAUUCACAAAGGUGCAUAAUGAGCUCUUGAUAUAUAAUAAUCUAUCAAUCCACUUUUCAUUCUGUUUUUAUAACGCUGGGGUAACUGACACGAAUAAUAAAACACAACAGAUGUUCAUAUAUGAAACGAUAACUCAAAUGCGUAAUUCUGAAAUAUUUUAAUUCGUUCCAGAUCUGUCCGUCAUAACCCUUUUGGUUAUAGAUGGCGUUGCUUCUACCAUCCGUGGUCAUGUCUGAACACACGGUGACGUUGGAGAGUGAAGCCUGUUUUUCUCCCCUUCACAAGAAGCCAUUUGUGACCAUCCUUUCUUUAACAGGAUGAAAAACCACUUCCACAGAACAAGAUAAUACAUCUAUCAUUGCGGACAUGAAUCCAAACUGUCUGUUGUAUUUUGUCAAGCAUGAUCAGUCCACCACUAUGUUGUGGCGUUCGCCGCCCUUGACACCCACAGGAAGCACAUGAGCAGGGUUUUUGUGCGUUUUCUCAAUUAAUUAGACAACCAUUGUUGUACAGUAAACCGUUCAUUUUAAGGCUGGUUCUAUGCCGUUAAAAUUUAAACCAAAUUGAAACGACAAAUAAAAGCUCAAAUCUAAUUUUGUCGCCCCAAAGCUUGCAUGACAUAUGGGGCAAUCCAAACUGUACACUAUAAAAAGUAAACUGGUCUAAAUCCUUGACGCCAAGAUGAGAUUAAAUCAAGUUGUAACACACAAGAACAAAGCUUUACAUCUCUUAAAUGAACGUAGCCCAAUCCUAAAACUGUAGACUUUACCUUUUUCAAUUGAUUGUUUGUGCUGGCCUACUUUCAUUUUAGAUAAAGAUCACAAUUUUUAAACAGCGCUCACAUUAAUAAAGACUCUGUUAAUGGUCACUUGAUUUGAAAAUGCUGCAUUCCCCAGGUUAAUGGCUUCAGCAUAAAACUUCUAAGAUUGAAUUUGGAUCUAAACCCGAAUCUGAACUUGAACUUGAACUGGAACCUGAACACAGACUUGUACCUGAACUUGAGCCUGAGCUUUGCCCCAUCCCCCAUUAUUUGGAGCUUUAUCUCUCUCUCUCUGCCCCCCUCUUCCCUGCCCUCUUCCCUCAGUGCUGAGAUUAAGGUGCGGUGGCGGCAUCAAAGGCCUGUCAGCACUAAAGUUAAUGGAGCAUCACACGUGUGCAUACACACACAGACAUGGGAGACAGGCCGUGCAACUGGAGAUAGGGGUAUUUGUAGAUUUGGAAUGGGGUAUUAACAGCAAAGAAAGGCAAGAAGGAAUGUUACAGUGGCGGGGGGGGGGAAGCAUGUGCGAAAAUGAAAUGUGGUUUUGAAUGUGUGCGAGUGAAAGAUCUGGAGCAAGCAGGGGUCAUGUUUAGAGGUUAAAUCCUUUAAGAGGACACGGUGGUAGUUUGUAGUCAUAAGGAGAAAUGAAGAGAGGCACUUGUUCAACUUAAAGCUUAAUAUCAUGCUUGCUUAAACUUCAAACACAAAGCCCACAUGCUCCCUGGAGAGAAAUAUAUACUGUUAUCAGACACGCACACGCUACAGGCAGCCAUACAUUAAAUACAUAACCACACACAAUGAUACGCAACUUCCUGAAAUAUGAAGUUUCACACACAAACACACACAUACCGACAGAGCUGGUUUAGCCGGGUACGGAUCCUGUUGCUGCCCCGAUCAAACAAUGGCAGCUCUAUUACAGGCCUAACAAGCCACGCUGUGCCAAGGGAGAGAAAGAGGGAUGACGAAAAGAGAGGGGGAGAAGGAAAGGGAGCAGACGGUGAGAUGGAAGGGGCAGCAGACUGAAGAAAAGCAGUCUACAAAACAGGCUUGGCAGAAGAAAAGGGGUCUCAGAAGGAGAAAGGGUGAUCCUCUUACAUUCAGUCCUCCAGGGUUUUGUCUCCGUAUAAGUUGCAACACAGAAACUGGAUUUCAUUACCUGAAUCCAAACUGCCACCUGCAAGGAAAACUGAAGAUGUGCGUGUAAUUGCAUGUCUGCAUUUGCAUGUUUUGUGCACAAACAUGAGUAAAUGUGGGUAUUUGUGCUUGUCUAUGCGUUAGUCCUUCUGUGUGUGUGCAAUGUUUGGUGCUCCAUAAUGUGUGUGUGUGUGUGUGUGUGUGUGUUCCUCUCCAGUGUGUUGUACAUCAGGAAGUGUCCAGCCAGUGUUUUGUCCCCCUCUGUUUGACACUAGCGUGUACAGAGCCCCUGUAAGGACACAACCUCUGCUUGGAACAAGCCACCCCUGUGUUUCCCCUCCUCCUUCUCCUCCUCCUUCUCCUUCUGCAUAUCCUGCUUGCCCCGUCUCUCCAGGAAACGUUCCUCCUCCCUCCCUUCCUUCCUCCCUCCCUACUAACCCCCCUCCAGUGCUGUCUGGGCCUUUAUCACUCCUUUGCCUCCUUCCUCUUUCUAUCUAUCUGCUAGGAUGAAAGAGUCAGUGAGGGAGUACUUGUGAGGGAGCAUUCCCUAAGUGUAUAAUUUUCUGUGUGCGCGCGUAUGUGUGUGUGUGUGCACCUAUCUGGCUUUGUGUGUACAUGUCUUUGUCUGUGGAAGUGUGUCUUUGUAUAAGUGAUUAAAAUUCUGUUGACUCUAGCGAGCUAGCUGUGUGAGGGCUUCCAUUGAGUCAGAGCAGGUGGGCUCCUGCUACUACAGUCCUGCUAAUAGCUCCUUCCUCUGGGUGACAGACUGGGUCAGGCAAAGGGCAGCGGACACACAGAUACCCCACUGUUGAUGCCAGAUAAAGUGAAGAGAUGUCAAUGGUCGAUGAUGGGACACCUUGUAUGCUUGUUAGACUGCAUUGAAAGGUUCCAGUUUGUGAAUUUGUUCAGUUCUGCUGUUUUUGCUUCUGUUUCUGAUUAACUAGCUAUUUAACCCUAAAGCUAUAUCCUGUACACACUCACACUUCGUACAAUAUUGACAAUAUAAAGUCACACUCACCCACGCACACACAUAUUGACAAUAUGAACAAUGGCAACAUAGCUGCCAAGGAAAAGUUAGGCAUAGUUUUGCCAAGCAUGGAGCCUGUUAAAAACAGAAGGAUGCAGUUUGUAUUUCUCACCACAACCAAGAGAUUCCAAGAGUCUUAUUCCCCCCAGCCUUGAAUUUAUCCUGAGUGACACUGAAGUAUCAGGUGUUGCAGCUAAAUUUAGUUUUACGUUUUUGAAAUGCCCAGAGCAGCAAUCAAUAAUGCAUAUAACAUAAAGGAGAGUAUGGACAACUUGCUAACUUUGAUUUGCUGUGUUAAAUCUGGGAUUCAAUUCAUUUCAAUUUUAUUUGUAAGGUGCUAAAUCAAAUCUUAAAUUAUCUCAAGGCACUUUACAUAAAUGAAGUCAAGACCGUAUAAUAUUAACCCAACAGUUCCCUCAGUGAGAAAGUACUUGGUGACAGUGGAGGAGGAAACCUCCAACAGAACCAGACUCGGGUUGGGCGGCCAUCUGCUUCGAAUGUUUGGGAUGAGAGAGGUACGAAAUAGGGGAGAGAAAAGAGAGAUGUUGAACAGUUGUGUGUAGCUGUGUCACUUUUAAUAAUUCUGUGUUGAAUUGAGGCCAUGGGUAGCCGCGUCCCCUACGCCGUAGCCGGACGUCAAGUUCCUUGGAAACUACAUGCCACAGUAACGCCAACUGUUGGCCCGCUUGGUAGCAUGUCUCGUCCCUCCUCCUUUUGGCCAAAGGUCACAUAAGCUUCUGUCAUGUAGUGACAGCCAGACAGACAGUCAGACAGUCGGCUCAUUAUCCCUGUCAGAAGACUUGACUACAUCAGAUAGCUGGUCACUCGGUCAGGUGGUUCAUUGGAAUCUGUGGAAUUCUCAGAUAAGAGGACAGUCUUUUUUUCCUCUGUUUAAAUUAGGUGCUCACAUAGUCAAAUAGUUUAAUGUCAUAUUAGCUUCGCCCAAAUAACCUAGAUGUACUUGCAAGAAAUUGCUGUUAUUUAUCAUCUUGAAGAACAGCAAGAUUUCUACUGGAAAGCCAAAUUUAUUGGCCCUCUUAUGCCUUCUUACAUGUGCAUUGUUAGGACAUUAGAUUGGGACAGCUUCACUGUGAGAGGAGCGAUAACUACUCCUAAUGGUGGGUCCUUGUAUCCAAAUGAAUUUUGGAAAGGCUACAUAAUUUAUUUGCACAGUUAGCAAACUAAACCUGUUGUCUACUUGCGCGGUAUGUCCUAAUGCAUGCAGGGGAAAAACUAAAGUUGGUAAAAUGUGAUUUGCAUGUGGAAAGUGUGGAGCAGCCAAGUUAAAUCAGUGGAGGAUAACUUGUUUUUGUGCCUUUGCCUGAUUUUUUUUUUCUCAAGCAACCUUGCAUAUGUGUGAAUGUGGUGAAUGAGACGGAUGCAGAGAGCAGCGAGGGAUGAGUUCAGCAGACAUGACAUCAAGGGCUGUUCAACACAGCUGCAGAGAGACACUGAGACACUGGUUGCUUGCUAUCCUCUUGACAGAGGAGGGAGCGAAAGAGUGAGAAAAGGAGAUAAACUGCAUUUACUUUUGUCCUUGAUGAGUCAAAGGUCUUAACAAGUGUGUGGUAGCUCUGAACCGAGGCUGCUGAAUAAAGCGUUUGGUUGUUUGGACGAUGGGGAGCCGGGGAGCCGGGGCCCUAAUGUGGUUUUCGGGGGCAUGUUUGUCUUUCUUUCUGUCAUCUCUCAACCUAUCUUGCGUCUAUGUUUUUCUGUGAAAGUAUAUAAACUACAGCAUUAAAGCCUCCUCUCUUCUUCCCCCAAGACUUUUUCCUGUCCUCAUGAGUGACGAGUCACACUACAAGGGAAAAAAUGUAUUUCUGGAUUAACCUCGUGGAAUGCAAAUUGAAUAUUCAGAGGAAUAUAAUAAAACGUUGUCUUGUGAUAUCUGCUUAAUACUUGAAUCUUUGCUUGAAAGUCUUAUUGUAUAGAAAUUUAAAAUCUAUAAAAAUGCGCAAUUCUCUUGCUGCAGAGCUGUGUAAAACCAAAAUAAUCUCUUAUGUGACUUAAAACGUAUACUUGCAUAAUGGAAUUUUAAGACAUUGGUCAAGUGGAGGCUUAAGCCAGAUGUGUAUCUAUGUCUGAAGUAUCAAGCCAUAUAUUUUCCACCUGGACUGCUGCCCAGUGCUGCCCUUGGUUCCUUUCCUGGCUUGCAGCCAGUCUAAACUACAGAUACACCAAUCAGACUGGUUGGAGCAUUAACAGUGAAAGGAGAUCACCUCUAAUCUCUGAUUUAAAAAAAAAAAGAAGAAAGUUACAAAAAGUAUUGUGAGCUGUCGAGUAGUAUUUCAGUUACCUUGGCUAGUAACCAAGACAUUCUUAAAUCUGGCAGGGAUUGCAGUGGAUUUCUUCUCUUUUUUUUGCGUGUCCCCCUGGUGAAGGAAGU